rnacentral:rRNA from 1 species
AGUGGGGAAUAUUGCACAAUGGGCGCAAGCCUGAUGCAGCCAUGCCGCGUGUAUGAAGAAGGCCUUCGGGUUGUAAAGUACUUUCAGCAGUGAGGAAGGGGGUGUCGUUAAUAGCGGCAUCUCUUGACGUUAGCUGCAGAAGAAGCACCGGCUAACUCCGUGCCAGCAGCCGCGGUAAUACGGAGGGUGCGAGCGUUAAUCGGAAUUACUGGGCGUAAAGCGCAUGCAGGUGGUUUGUUAAGUCAGAUGUGAAAGCCCGGGGCUCAACCUCGGAACUGCAUUUGAAACUGGCAAACUAGAGUACUGUAGAGGGGGGUAGAAUUUCAGGUGUAGCGGUGAAAUGCGUAGAGAUCUGAAGGAAUACCAGUGGCGAAGGCGGCCCCCUGGACAGAUACUGACACUCAGAUGCGAAAGCGUGGGGAGCAAA